CCUGGUGGACUCUGCUGUAAGUCUUUAUACACUCCACACUCCCCCUGUGGUAGGAGGUGGUAUUGUCAGCCACAUGUGUGCAGUUAGAAGCCCAUGGAUUCUGUGUUCUCUCUUUUAUGAUUUUAUUAUAGUGUUACCAUUGUGCUGGUGUGUUGGAGUAUUGUGUGUGUGUGUUGGAGUAUUGUGUGUGUGUGUGUGUGUGUGUUGGAGUAUUGUGUGUGUGUGUGUGUUGGAGUAUUGUGUGUGUUUGUUGGAGUAUUGUGUGUACAGUUGUUUUCACAGGAUGUUACUGUGUGCUGAUGGAUACACAUAUCGCUAUAACCUCUUCGGUGAUGGAUGCCCAUGGUAUAUUACACUGCAGUGCAGGAGUCCAUGGUAUAUUACACUGCAGUGCAGGAGUCCAUGGUAUAUUACACUGCAGUGCAGGAGUCCGGUCUCUCCCUGCCCCAUAGUAUAUUACACUGCAGUGCAGGAGUCCAUGUCCAUGGUAUAUUACACUGCAGUGCAGGAGUCCAGUCUCCCUGCCCCAUGGUAUAUUACACUGCAGUGCAGGAGUCCAUGUCCAUGGUAUAUUACACUGCAGUGCAGGAGUCCGGUCUCCCUGCCCCAUGGUAUAUUACACUGCAGUGCAGGAGUC